CUACAAUGAUGGCAGCAUUUUUCGUCAAUAGCAGCUCACCUAGUGAGUGUUCAUACUUUCAGUCUUAGUGA
ensembl:snoRNA